rnacentral:rRNA from 1 species
GAUGAACGCUGGCGGCGUGCCUAAUACAUGCAAGUCGAACGCAUAGCGAAAGGUGCUUGCACCUUUCAAGUGAGUGGCGAACGGGUGAGUAACACGUGGACAACCUGCCUCAAGGCUGGGGAUAACAUUUGGAAACAGAUGCUAAUACCGAAUAAAACUUAGUGUCGCAUGACGCAAAGUUAAAAGGCGCUUCGGCGUCACCUAGAGAUGGAUCCGCGGUGCAUUAGUUAGUUGGUGGGGUAAAGGCCUACCAAGACAAUGAUGCAUAGCCGAGUUGAGAGACUGAUCGGCCACAUUGGGACUGAGACACGGCCCAAACUCCUACGGGAGGCUGCAGUAGGGAAUCUUCCACAAUGGGCGAAAGCCUGAUGGAGCAACGCCGCGUGUGUGAUGAAGGCUUUCGGGUCGUAAAGCACUGUUGUAUGGGAAGAACAGCUAGAAUAGGAAAUGAUUUUAGUUUGACGGUACCAUACCAGAAAGGGACGGCUAAAUACGUG